GCGGCUAUGGUGAAGUGGUAUCACAUUUGCUUCCCAAGCAAAGAUCACGGGUUCGAACCCCGUUAGCCGCU
rnacentral:tRNA from 1 species